AAUGAACGCUGGCGGCAUGCCUAACACAUGCAAGUCGAACGAAGGCUUCGGCCUUAGUGGCGCACGGGUGCGUAACGCGUGGGAAUCUGCCCUUGGGUUCGGAAUAACAGUUAGAAAUGACUGCUAAUACCGGAUGAUGUCGUAAGACCAAAGAUUUAUCGCCCAAGGAUGAGCCCGCGUAGGAUUAGCUUGUUGGUGGGGUAAAGGCCUACCAAGGCGACGAUCCUUAGCUGGUCUGAGAGGAUGAUCAGCCACACUGGGACUGAGACACGGCCCAGACUCCUACGGGAGGCAGCAGUGGGGAAUAUUGGACAAUGGGCGAAAGCCUGAUCCAGCAAUGCCGCGUGAGUGAUGAAGGCCUUAGGGUUGUAAAGCUCUUUUACCCGGGAUGAUAAUGACAGUACCGGGAGAAUAAGCUCCGGCUAACUUCGUG
rnacentral:rRNA from 1 species